rnacentral:rRNA from 1 species
GACGAACGCUGGCGGCGUGCUUAAUACAUGCAAGUCGAACGCUGACGAGCGGACCUUGCUCUCCUUGGGUGAGUUACCAACGGGUGAGUAACGCGUAGGUAACCUGUCUGUUAGCGGGGGUUAACUUUUUGACACGAUAGUUAAUACCGCCUAAAAUGCAUUAUCGCAUGAUAAUCCCUUGAAAGGUGCACAUGCAUCACUACCAGCUGGACCUGCGUUGUAUUAGCUAGUUGGUGUGUUAACGGCUCACCAAGGCGACGAUACAUAGCCGACCUGAGAGGGGGAUCGGCCAAACUGGGCUUGGGACACGGCCCAGAAUCCUACGAGAGGCAGCAGUAGGGAAUCCUCGGAAAUGGACGGAAGGCGGACUGAGCAACGCCGCGUGAGUGAAGGAGGUUUUCGGGUCGUAAAGCUCUGUUGUAAGAGAAGAACGAGUGUGAGAGUGGAAAGUUCACACUGUGACGGUAUCUGACCAGAAAGGGACGGCUAACUACGUG